GACGAACGCUGGCGGCGUGCUUAACACAUGCGAGUCGAACGGUGAAGGGAUCAGCUUGCUGGUUCUGGGUGAGGGGCGAACGGGUGAGUAACACGUGAGUAACCUGCCCCCUUCUGCUGGAUAACCGCAUGAAAGUGUGGCUAAUACGGGAUAUUCUGCGCCUGCUGCAUGGGGGGUGUGGGAAAGAUGUUGUUUCGGUGGGGGAUGGGCUCGCGGCCUAUCAGCUUGGGGGUGGGGUGCUGGCCUGCCAAGGCGGGGACGGGGAGGCGGCCGGAGGGGGGCGGCGGUCACAGUGGGACUGGGACCCUGCCCAGUGUCCUACGGGCGGCAGCCGUGCGGGAUACUGCACAAGGGGCUCUAGCCUGAUGCAGCGACGCCGCGUGAGGGAUGGCGGCCUUCGGGUUGUGAACCUCUUUCGCCAGUGAAGCAGGCCUGUCUCUUGUGGGUGGGUUGACGGUAGCUGGAUAAGAAGCGCCGGCUAACUACGUG
rnacentral:rRNA from 1 species